GAUGAACGCUAGCGAUAGGCUUAACACAUGCAAGUCGAGGGGCAGCACAUGAGUGGCAACACGAUGGUGGCGACCGGCGCACGGGUGAGUAACACGUAUGCAACCUGCCCAUAACUGGGGGAUAACCCGUCGAAAGGCGGACUAAUACCGCAUGACAACGAUGAUCCGCAUGGUGAUUCGUUUAAAGAUUUAUCGGUUAUGGAUGGGCAUGCGUUCCAUUAGGUAGUUGGCAGGGUAACGGCCUACCAAGCCUACGAUGGAUAGGGGUUCUGAGAGGCAGGUCCCCCACACUGGUACUGAGACACGGACCAGACUCCUACGGGAGGCAGCAGUGAGGAAUAUUGGUCAAUGGGCGAGAGCCUGAACCAGCCAAAUCGCGUGAAGGAUGAAGGUAUUAUGUAUUGUAAACUUCUUUUACAGGGGAAUAAAGUGCAUCACGUGUGGUGUUUUGUAUGUACCCUAGGAAUAAGGAUCGGCUAACUCCGUGCCAGCCGCCGCGGUAAUAC
rnacentral:rRNA from 1 species